ACUAUUUUGACAGAUUUAUGUAUUAAAUUUAGAAUUUAAUUAAAUAUGUUUUAGGCAUAUAAAUAGUA
rnacentral:tRNA from 1 species